UACGGAGGGUGCAAGCGUUAAUCGGAAUUACUGGGCGUAAAGCGCACGCAGGUGGCUGAGUCAGUCGAUUGUGAAAGCCCUGGGCUUAACCUGGGAAUUGCAGUCGAUACUACUCAGCUAGAGUAUGGGAGAGGGCAGUGGAAUUCCCGGUGUAGCGGUGAAAUGCGUAGAUAUCUGGAGGAACACCGGUGGCGAAGGCGGCAUCCUGGACCGAUACUGACGCUGAGGAGCGAAAGCCAGGGGAGCAAAGCGGG
rnacentral:rRNA from 1 species